rnacentral:tRNA from 1 species
UAGCUCAGCAUGUUAGAGCACAGGCCUUGCAUGUUUGAAUGCCCAGGUUCAACUCCUGG